CUUUAGCCCCGAUUGAAGUGGAAAUCCUUUUGUUUUUUCUUUAAAAACAAAAGAUUGCAACAGAAAGCGGGAACCCAU
rnacentral:sRNA from 1 species